AUUCCUUUAGUAUUACCUAGUACAGUUGACUUCCAAUCAACCAAUUUCGGUACAAUCCGAAAAGGAAUA